AACCAUAGAAACCUGCGGAGUACCUGCGGAAGGAUCAUUAACAAAUUGUCCACCACAAAUGGAUAAUUUUAUCCAUAUCCACCUUGUGUGCAUCAUUGAAGUGUUUGUUGGCAGGCUAAGGCUUUUUCCAUUAUCGGACAGCCUGUGUGGGUUUGGCGCUUGGUGUAUUCGCCAGCGCUUGUGCUCGGCCUGCCAAUUUUAUUGUUUAAAAACUUGUCUAAAUAAGCAACGGUCUGAAAA
rnacentral:misc_RNA from 1 species